UACGUAGGUGGCGAGCGUUAUCCGGAUUUAUUGGGCGUAAAGCGAGCGCAGGCGGUUUCUUAAGUCUGAUGUGAAAGCCCCCGGCUCAGCCGGGGAAGUGCAUCGGAAACUGGGAAGCUUGAGUGCAGAAGAGGACAGUGGAACUCCAUGUGUAGCGGUGAAAUGCGUAGAUAUAUGGAAGAACACCAGUGGCGAAGGCGGCUGUCUGGUCUGUAACUGACGCUGAGACUCGAAAGCAUGGGUAGCGAACAGG
rnacentral:rRNA from 1 species